ACGGGUGAGUAACGCGUGGGAACAUACCCUUUUCUACGGAAUAGCUCUGGGAAACUGGAAUUAAUACCGUAUACGCCCUACGGGGGAAAGAUUUAUCGGGGAAGGAUUGGCCCGCGUUGGAUUAGCUAGUUGGUGGGGUAAAGGCCUACCAAGGCGACGAUCCAUAGCUGGUCUGAGAGGAUGAUCAGCCACAUUGGGACUGAGACACGGCCCAAACUCCUACGGGAGGCAGCAGUGGGGAAUAUUGGACAAUGGGCGCAAGCCUGAUCCAGCCAUGCCGCGUGAGUGAUGAAGGCCUUAGGGUUGUAAAGCUCUUUCACCGAUGAAGAUAAUGACGGUAGUCGGAGAAGAAGCCCCGGCUAACUUCGUGCCAGCAGCCGCGGUAAUACGAAGGGGGCUAGCGUUGUUCGGAAUUACUGGGCGUAAAGCGCACGUAGGCGGAUAUUUAAGUCAGGGGUGAAAUCCCAGAGCUCAACUCUGGAACUGCCUUUGAUACUGGGUAUCUUGAGUAUGGAAGAGGUAAGUGGAAUUGCGAGUGUAGAGGUGAAAUUCGUAGA
rnacentral:rRNA from 2 species